UGUGGGUUGUUGGAGGAUGAUCAUAGGAAUCAGCAAGUCUGUGAAGCCUGAGUCUAUACCUUUGACCAGAGCCCAGGAUGGGUGAUGUGGUUCCCAAACUAUGUUUUGAAUAGCUAAGUCCCCAAGAUCUCUUCCUGUCUCUUCCUCCCCUAAGGUAGGAAGAAACCUUCUGCCAACUAACUCCAUUUUGUUUGUUUGACUGCCAUCACUGACUUCAGCACCACCACUGAAGCUUUGGGGAACACCACACGAUCGGCCUCAUGGUGUUUUACUACACCAUCAAUCAAGAAUUUUGUUUACACAAUGGCUGCCCAGUAUCCUCGAGGAACAACACAGAAUCACUGAAAUAGUCUGUACUGCUUCCAUGGGCUGGACAUCAAGUUUCAGCAAGUGUUUGUAUAACUGAAGUGACAUCACAAGAGGAAGGACAAGGAGGAUUAACUCCACAGAGGAAGAUGCUCCAUCUCCGGGCUUGGAAAUGAUGGAAGAGCACAAGGAACCAAGUCCACUGCACUCAUUCAGAUGGUCCCAGGAAACUUCCCUGAACUCCAACAGUGAAGCUGAAGCUCGUCUGCUAGGAAGAAGAGUGGAGCACAAAAGACACUGUGGACACAAACCAGCUCUCUAUUAUGGAGCUUCUGAGAAGCCAUCAUGUACA